CAGUCGGUUGCAAGCUUAAAUACAAAUCCGAAUUGUUAUUAAAGCUACCAACCGGCUUCA
rnacentral:pre_miRNA from 1 species